rnacentral:rRNA from 1 species
UUUGUUUUUGUAUAGAUUGUGUGUGUUUAUUUAUCUUUAAAAAUAGGUUAAAUUUUUUUAUUUAAGUUUUAAGUAUUCAUUUUUAUAUAAAAUUUAUAUUUGUGACAGGGAUUAGAUACCCCAUUAACGUAUUUUGUAAUAUUAUCUUAGUUUAGUAACUAAAAUGGUUUGGCAGUGAGUGAUUCUUUUUAGGGGAAGGUGUGGUAUAAAGGAUGUUCCGCCUAUUAAUUUACUUUUAUUAUGUUGGUGUAUAUCUGGUUUAAUAUUAUCGUUGAGUGAUGUAUAAGUUUGUGUAGGUUUUAAUUAAGCUAAGUCUAUGUGCUGCUUAUAAAAGUAUACAUGCGUUACAUUGAUAAAGUUUUAGUUGUAAGUGCUAUUAUAUUCAGGACUUAAAAGUAAUGUUAAAUUAUUUUGUUAAUGUGAAGUAAGUUU